AAUUUUGGACAAUGGGGGAAACCCUGAUCCAGCCAUCCCGCGUGUAUGAUGAAGGCCUUCGGGUUGUAAAGUACUUUUGGCAGAGAAGAAAAGGUAUCUCCUAAUACGAGAUACUGCUGACGGUAUCUGCAGAAUAAGCACCGGUUAACUACGUGCCAGCAGCCGCGGUAAUACGUAGGGUGCAAACGUUAAUCGGAAUUACUGGGUGUAAAGCGUGGGUAAGGCGGUCGGAAAAGAAGGAGUGAAAUCCCAAGGGUCCACCUUUGAACCGCAAUUUUAACUGGCGGGGUAGAGGAUGUUAGAGGGGGGUAGAAUUCCAAGGUGAACAAGGGAAAGCGUAGAAAAGGUGAGGAAUUCCGAUGGCGAAGGGAGCCCCCUUGGAUAAUACUGACGCUCAGACACGAAAGCGUGGGGAGCAAACAGG
rnacentral:rRNA from 1 species